UGCUUCUUGUAUCAAUAUGAAGUAACUCCUGCCCAGUGAAAUUAAACGGCCGCGGUAUCCUAACCGUGCAAAGGUAGCAUAAUAAUUUGUCCAUUAAUUGUGGACUAGAAUGAACGGAUCAACAAAAUAAGCACUGUUUCAAUAAGAAAUAUAUAAACUAUUAUUAAAGUGAAGAAACUUUAAUACAAUAAAAGGACAAGAAGACCCUAUAGAGCUUUAUACUUAAAUAACUAAAAGUUACUAGGUAUUCGGUUGGGGCGACCCAGGAAAAAUCAUCCUUAAUUAUACAGAUAAACAAAUCACACCAAAGAUCCUAUCUAUAGAUCAACGAAUCAAGCUACCUUAGGGAUAACAGGCUAAUCCUAUUAAAGAGCUCUUAUCGACAAUAGGGAUUGGCACCUCGAUGUUGGCUUAGAAUAUCUUUAUGGCGCAGAAGCCGUAAGAAGAAGGUUUGUUCAACCUAUAAUAUUCU
rnacentral:rRNA from 1 species